GCCUAAAACAUCCAGCACGAUGUGUUGAUAUUCAAAAGUCCCACAUCGGUUAAUACCCAAAGCAUGGGUUGGUGAAGCAGUAGUAUAUAUAAAGAAGCGGACUGUUCAAGCAAAUUACUUACCUGGACGGGGUCAACUCGCGAUCAAUAAGACGAGUGGCCUAGGCUAGUGACCGCAUUGCACAUACCGUUGGGGUGCUAUGCCUAAGGUCUUCCCUUGAGGAAGAGCCUGCGUUAUUAUUUGUGGCAGAGGGGGUUUGCGUUCGCGCAGCCCCUACCAGUCAUUGUUAGUCUGAAGUUUUCAUAUUUCAAUU
rnacentral:sRNA from 1 species